GAUGAACGCUGGCGGCGUGCCUAAUACAUGCAAGUCGAGCGAACAGAUGAGGAGCUUGCUCCUCUGACGUUAGCGGCGGACGGGUGAGUAACACGUGGAUAACCUACCUAUAAGACUGGGAUAACUUCGGGAAACCGGAGCUAAUACCGGAUAAUAUAUUGAACCGCAUGGUUCAAUAGUGAAAGACGGUUUUGCUGUCACUUAUAGAUGGAUCCGCGCCGCAUUAGCUAGUUGGUAAGGUAACGGCUUACCAAGGCAACGAUGCGAAGCCGACCUGAGAGGGUGAUCGGCCACACUGGAACUGAGACACGGUCCAGACUCCUACAGGAGGCAGCAGUAGGGAAUCUUCCGCAAUGGGCGAAAGCCUGACGGAGCAACGCCGCGUGAGUGCUGAAGGUCUUCGGAUCGUAAAACUCUGUUAUUGGGGAAGAACAAAUGUGUAAGUAACUAUGCACGUCUUGACGGUACCUAAUCAGAAAGCCACGGCUAACUACGUG
rnacentral:rRNA from 1 species